CUACGGGUCGCAGCAGUGAGGAAUAUUGCACAAUGGGGGGAACCCUGAUGCAGCAACGCCGCGUGGAGGAUGACGCAUUUCGGUGUGUAAACUCCUUUUAUAUGUCAAGAAAAUGACGGUAGCAUAUGAAUAAGCACCGGCUAACUCCGUGCCAGCAGCCGCGGUAAUACGGAGGGUGCAAGCGUUACUCGGAAUCACUGGGCGUAAAGGACGCGUAGGCGGGUUGGAAAGUCAGGUGUGAAAUCCUACAGCUUAACUGUAGAACUGCACUUGAAACUUCUAAGCUAGAGUAUGGGAGGGGGAGAUGGAAUUAGUGGUGUAGGGGUAAGAUCCGUAGAUAUCACUAGGAAUACCUAAAGCGAAGGCGAUCUCCUGGAACAUUACUGACGCUAAGGCGUGAAAGCGUGGGGAGCAAACAGGAUUAGAUACCCUUGUAGUC
rnacentral:rRNA from 1 species